UACAGAUUUACCAAGGUGUACCACAAGUCACUUGACGUAGUUUUGACAAUGGGACUUCCAACUCUUCUACUGUGUAUUGCGAUUACGGUCUUGCCAUCCAUACAUAGUCAUACACCGGAAUACUUUGCUAGCAUAGGGCAACCGAUGGGUACAAUCGGACAACCAAUUGGUAUACAGGGACAACCAAUGGGUAUACCGGGACAACCAAUGGGUACAUGGGGACCACCAACGAGUCCAAUCGAACUACCGAUGAGUCCAAUAGGACAAUCGAUGAGACCAUUGAGACAACCGAUGAGUCCAUUGGGACAGCCGAUAAGUCCAAUGUCACAGCCGAUGGGCAAUCAAUAUGGUUUGUAUUGCAUUUACAAUUCUAUAAUCUAGUCAAUACUACAUUUGAGCGUUAAAUCGAUAUAUUUCAUUAAUUAGAUAUUAACUUAUUACUUUUUGAACAAUUUGAAACUCUUUCCCACAUUUAAAAAAAAAAAAACACUUUUAUUGUUAAGUAUAGUCUUCACACUAAGAAAUACAUAUGCGCAUGUGUUGUUUUUUACUUAAAUUGGUGGUGAGAUAAACAAUUAUCCAUACGAUUACUGUAUUGAUUUUUGCGGUCUAUUUAUUUUCCCGAAUUUCGCUGUUGGUUUAUUAUCGCGAAAAAAACCCACACGAAUCUAAAUCCAACUUUAUAACUAAACACGUACUGUUUAUCUAUGCAUGUAAACUUGACCUUACAUCGAUGACAUGACAUGUUUACAACCCUAUUACUCCAAUUAAUAAACAAACUAGAUUAAUAUCAAAAGGUGACAAGUAAAAAACAAUUACAGAUCAAAGAAACAAUAAUGACUCGAGAUUACCAUAAACCAUAUGACUGUUUAUUGUUUUUGCUUUUGAUUGAUGUACAAACAUGUGUGUAUAGUUGCAGACAAUAUUUUUUUUAAAGCUUUACUGUAGUCAUUUGAUAACAAACAAAAUUGUAAUUAUAAUGAGAUUUUAUAAAAGUCAAACAAGCAAAAAUAAAUACACACGAAGAUUCUUUACAAAUAACCAAAGUUACUACAGUUUGUCAUUUACCGAGUGCGACUCCUGCAAUACCGGUCUUAACCCAACAUCUUCUUUACAUUCUGAAAUGCAUGCACUAACCACCAAGUGUGUAAAAGAAUAUACCCGACGGCUAUUUACGAUUUUACUUUGAAUACAGAUCAGAUUUACACACGAGGCAAUAAUUAUAACUAUAAAACUUUUUUGUUAUUUUCAAGAAAAAAUCGCAAAAAUAAAUACCCGCGAAUAUUAAACUUCACAUAUUCGAUCUAAAAGAAGCUCUUGGUAAACACGCCCUGUCUAACAUAGUUAAUAAUAAUAAACGACUUUAUAUAAUAGCUAAUUGAAAUAGUAAUUGUUUAAAUAAUCUAUAUUUUUCAAUUGUUAUGUGUUAACACGUUUUGUUACUGAUAUUAUAUUUUUCAUAAAAUGGCAUUAUACAUGCAUGCAAAAUGAGAAACAUCAUUUGUAAAUGUCCAAUUUAGAAUUGAAUACUUUAGUUUGUAAAUUCAUUGAAGUGAAAACACGUUGACCGAAGAACAUUCAAAAACUGUGAGGGUGUUCGAGUGGUUUAAGUACUUCUAUUGUAAUCAUUAGGUACUCAACACUGAGCUUGUGAGGUCGAACCCCUCUCGUGCGGGUGCACUCAACUCCCAUCUUAAUUGACUAGGAUUUUCAGUUUUCCUGUCAAAGGUUGGUUGUUUUUUCCUGACACUUCGUCUUUCUCAACCAAUAAAAAUGGACCACCACGGAAUAGCCGUAAUGUAGUACUUAAAAGUGGCGUUUCAGAUUGAAACGAUAUUGCUGUAAGCCAAUCAUAAUAGCGUAUUUUAAUGAACCACACAUCUUAUGUAAUUAUAACUCCUUCAUAAUCAAUUCCUUUCCUUUACAGGACGAAUAUGGUGUACUUGCCGUCGGCGAUGUCGUUCUAGGGAAUGGACCGUUAGAUACACUUGUUUACUUCCAUUUUACCCCAGAUACUUGAACACUUGUUGUAAAUAUCUCAGCAAUUAUCAAACAUCAUCUAUGCCACGUGGUUCUGGAUUUCCUACUUUCCCACAGUACCCUCCAAUCUACCCUGGAAUGCCUGAUUACGGAAUGGGAGGAAGUAGCCUACCACCAAAAGGUUUCGAAUAGGAAUUUAAGGUAAGAACGCCUGAUCAAAGUAGCGGUGAAUUUUUUAACAGUUAGUUAAACAAUGUCAAAGCCGAUAAUAACAAUAUCCAUAUCCUUUAGUACUUACUAAAGUUUUGCCGUCAUAUCAUGAUACCACAUCCUGUUUGUUUCGUCAACUAAAUGCAUUUAAGUUAGAAAAAGGGCAGAAAUUGAACGAUAUAAGAAAUAAUACUUUUUCAUAUAUCACUCUUAAAUUUCAUAAUUUUCUAUUGUAGAAAAAAGAAAGACGUUGACCAAACCGACAAAGUGGAUAUAUAAGUUAGAUGAAUUAAACAAUAAGC
rnacentral:lncRNA from 1 species